AGUGAACGCUGGCGGUAGGCCUAACACAUGCAAGUCGAACGGCAGCACAGUAAGCGCUUGCUCUUACGGGUGGCGAGUGGCGGACGGGUGAGGAAUACAUCGGAAUCUACUUUUUCGUGGGGGAUAACGUAGGGAAACUUACGCUAAUACCGCAUACGAUCUACGGGUGAAAGCAGGGGAUCUUCGGACCUUGCGCGUUUGAAUGAGCCGAUGUCGGAUUAGCUAGUUGGCGGGGUAAAGGCCCACCAAGGCGACGAUCCGUAGCUGGUCUGAGAGGAUGAUCAGCCACACUGGAUCUGAGACACGGUCCAGACUCCUACGGGAGGCAGCAGUGGGGAAUAUUGGGCAAUGGGCGCAAGCCUGAUCCAGCCAUGCCGCGUGGGUGAAGAAGGCCUUCGGGUUGUAAAGCCCUUUUGUUGGGAAAGAAAAGCAGCAGGUUAAUACCCCGCUGUUCUGACGGUACCCAAAGAAUAAGCACCGGCUAACUUCGUG
rnacentral:rRNA from 1 species